GUCGCACGGGAACCCUUGGAUUCGUCUGGGGGGGAGAGUGGCGAACGGGUGAGUAACACGUAGGUGACCUGCCCCGAAGAGGGGAAUAACCACUGGAAACGGUGGCUAAUACCCCAUGUGCUUGGCGAUUCGUUUCACCAAGUAAAGUUCCGGCGCUUUGGGAGGGGCCUGCGGCCCAUCAGGUAGUUGGUAGGGUAAUGGCCUACCAAGCCAAUGACGGGUAGGGGGCGUGAGAGCGUGAUCCCCCACACUGGCACUGAGAUACGGGCCAGACUCCUACGGGAGGCAGCAGUGAGGAAUAUUGCCCAAUGGACGCAAGUCUGAGGCAGCAACGCCGCGUGAGCGAUGAAGGCCUUCGGGUUGUAAAGCUCUUUUCUGGGGGACGAGGAAGGACGGUACCUCAGGAAUAAGUCACGGCUAACUACGUGCCAGCAGCCGCGGUAAUACGUAGGUGGCGAGCGUUAUCCGGAUUUACUGGGCGUAAAGCGCGUGCAGGCGGUUCUGUAAGUCGGACGUGAAAGCUCCUGGCUUAACUGGGAGAGGCCGUUCGAUACUGCAGGACUUGAGGUCGGGAGAGGGACGUGGAAUUCCCGGUGUAGUGGUGGAAUGCGUAGAUAUCGGGAGGAACACCAGUGGCGAAGGCGGCGUCCUGGCCCGCACCUGACGCUAAGACGCGAAAGCGUGGGUAGCGAACGGGAUUAGAUACCCCGGUAGUCCACGCCGUAAACGGUGGAUACUAGGUGUUGGUGGCUAUCGUCAUCAGUGCCGU
rnacentral:rRNA from 1 species